UUUCUUUUCUUACUUUUUUCUUCUCUAAACUUUUUGGGCACUAAACCUGCAGCUUCUAACCCCAAUUUUCAGCACAUCUAAACCCUAGGAGAAGAAGAAAGAAACAGAAAGAAAGGAAGAAAAGCUUGGUUUUGUAAUUCAAGCAAGCUAAGCUUGAUGAUUAAUAUUUUGAAGGAAUAUUGGAGUGCAAGCACAGGUCAAGCAACCAUAAAGGAAUUGCAACAGUAAAGGUAGAGUACUGUGGUGGUGUACUUAGGAAAAUAACGAGCAACCGGGAAGUAAGAAUAGCUAGAUACGCCUCCGAACAAAUAGCGAUGUAAUAUCCUGCUAUUGUAAGUGAAAUUGCAUUCUCAUUGUAGUGAGAAAUUCUCGGGUGUUAGGGGCUUACAACAGCCUUGGAGUUCGCUGCAAUGAGUUGCUCACUGUGGUUUUCGUUGCAGCGAGAUUCAUUCUCGCUGCAACGAGAAACUCUUGGGUUUGGUUCAAAAACCUGUGCUCUGAAUUUCGCUGCAGCAAGAAUGCCUCUUCGCUACAGCAAGAAUCUUUCGAUCAUGUUUACCUUGUUUAUAUCUUACUAUGGUUUUCACUCAUUUAUCUUCAUGGUUGAUCUUGGGUUUUUCAACACUAAGAGAUGACUAAUCAAAGUUUUGAAAUAAGGGGUUUUAACAAGAAAUUAAGUUAAAUUGCAUGAUUUUAGCAAAAGUGCAUCAUGAUUUUAAAACUUUCCAUAUCAUAUGCUUAUUCCCUUCUUAUGUUCACUCAUUGGGUUUAUACUCACGUUUUUAAACUUCAUGU